GAUUCCCAGCCCUGGUGGUGGCUAUUUCUGCAGCCAUGAAUCCUGAAGGCUACGGAACUUCCAAACACUGCUGGCUCACCCUGGAGAGAGGCUUUCGUUGGAGCUUCCUGGGACCAGUCUGUGUCAUAAUCCUGAUAAAUUUAACAUUUUUUCUUGUAACCCUCUGGAUCCUGAGAGACAAACUGUCCUCCCUUAAUGAAGAUGUGUC